AGCCUAUUGACCUCCAUUAAUAUAAAGCAAUGGAGAAAAUAUGGUCAUUUCACAGAGUAAUGAUAAGUUAUGAAAAAGUCAAUAGCAUGCUAGAGAGUUAAGUAAAGGGGAGUUUUUUGGUGUUCUGUUUGGUUGUUUUAAAUGCUGCUUUGCUUUUCGUUUUUUUUUUUGUUGUUGUUGUUUGUUCGUUUUUUUUCUGGUUUGCCCCCUUCCCUCUUGGUGGGUUUAGAGGAGCAGGCUGGGAGAGAGAACUGAAGGAGCGGAGGUGGCCGGGCCCCAUCAAGUGUCAGGAGGGAAAGUCUCCGCUUUCUCGACACUGGAACACCACCUUCCUCGGCUCCUCCCGCGCUCCCUUCGGGAUAACUUACCACCUGAACUCAAGUUCAACUCCCUCCGGCGCCAGCGUGCUGGGGGGCUCCGCGGGGAUCCAGGGACACGGAACCCGGCAGAACUCCCGUCUGGAUGGAGGUCCGCACACUCCCGGAUCUUCACGCGCUGUCUCCACGCUCCUUGGCGGGCAGCGGCGCAGCGACCCUGGCGCCCGGCGGGGAAAAGGCGACAGAUGUCAGCGGCGUCCGGCCAGGAAGCUGAGGCGCUGCCUCGUCGCUCGCUGGCCCGCGCGGGGCUCAGAAUGAGAGGCUCGGCGAAGUGAGCGUUCUGCCCAUCAAUCUUCGUCCGCUUCCCCCCGUGACGCUCUCACGCUUAGCUGUUCAUGUUACCAUUCUUCUCCGGCCAAGGAACGAGCCCUGAGACGCCUCCACAGCACCUGAGGGGCAGUCCCGUCAAUCUCCCGCGCACGUACGGGGCACGGAGGGCGGCGACACCGAAGUCCGUGCCCGGCUCGGGAAGUGGCUGAGGACGCCCGGAGGACGAGCGGAAGGUAAAGACGCGCUGCGCUUGCACCGGGCCCGCCGGCUGCCGCCAGCCUUCCGCCGAGACGUCGCUGGUGCCUGCCACGUGCGGAGCCCGGAGCCGGGGAAGGGAGGGCGCGCCGCCCCGGGGGUGGGCAACUCUGCGUGGCCUCCAGCUGCUAUAUAAACACACUCGGACGCCGACGGGAAGAGCAGCACAAGGACGAGCCAGGAGGCUUCGGCUCCCCACUACGCGGAUCCUCCCUGUCUCUGCCCGGGUUUUCUUUUCGGGGGAGGGGCUGGGAGGUUGCUGGGGGGCCACCUCAGACCCACAGGGACCGCGGCUUUCCAGGCAUCUCACCCCAAAGGUGCCCGGCCAGAGAUUCCGGAAGAUACCGCGGCGGCCGCAGGCGGGUUCACCCAGGAUUCGUCAAUGGUGCCGGCCAGAGCGCCACCAGCCGCGCGUGGCGACCGCGGGAGGCGCAGGCGACCCGGGGUUGGGCCCGUCCCGCCGACAGGGGUUCCCCUGGGCCGCGCGCCCCGCCGCUCGGGCCAGUAUCUCCCUGGAGAAAGACAGAUCCGCGUGUGAAGAGUUAUGCCUGAAACUCCCCAUGUUAUAA
rnacentral:lncRNA from 1 species